GGCUAAGUAACAUAAAGGAAAUGUAUUAGACUGCAAAUCUUGAAAUGGUGGUUCGAUUCCACCCUUAGCCU
rfam:Klebsormidium nitens mitochondrial DNA, contig: KFL_3731.